GAACAGAUGAAGUGCUUGCACUUCUGACGUUAGCGGCGAACGGGUGAGUAACACGUAAGGAAUCUACCUAUAAGCGGGGGAUAACAUUCGGAAACGGGUGCUAAUACCGCAUAAUAUCUUCUUCCGCAUGGAAGAAGAUUGAAAGACGGCUCUGCUGUCACUUAUAGAUGACCUUGCGGUGCAUUAGUUAGUUGGUGGGGUAACGGCCUACCAAGACGAUGAUGCAUAGCCGACCUGAGAGGGUGAUCGGCCACAUUGGGACUGAGACACGGCCCAAACUCCUACGGGAGGCAGCAGUAGGGAAUCUUCCGCAAUGGGCGAAAGCCUGACGGAGCAAUGCCGCGUGAGUGAAGAAGGCCUUCGGGUCGUAAAACUCUGUUAUAAGAGAAGAACAAAUUGUAGAGUAACUGCUACAGUCUUGACGGUAUCUUAUCAGAAAGCCACGGCUAACUACGUGCCAGCAGCCGCGGUAAUACGUAGGUGGCAAGCGUUGUCCGGAUUUAUUGGGCGUAAAGGGAGCGCAGGUGGUUUCUUAAGUCUGAUGUGAAAGCCCACGGCUUAACCGUGGAGGGUCAUUGGAAACUGGGAAACUUGAGUACAGAAGAGGAAUGUGGAACUCCAUGUGUAGCGGUGGAAUGCGUAGAUAUAUGGAAGAACACCAGUGGCGAAGGCGACAUUCUGGUCUGUUACUGACACUGAGGCUCGAAAGCGUGGGGAGCAAACAGGAUUAGAUACCCUGGUAGUCCACGCCGUAAACGAUGAGUGCUAGGUGUUGGAGGGUUUCCGCCCUUCAGUGCCGCAGUUAACGCAUUAAGCACUCCGCCUGGGGAGUACGACCGCAAGGUUGAAACUCAAAGGAAUUGACGGGGACCCGCACAAGCGGUGGAGCA
rnacentral:rRNA from 1 species